UACGAAGGGUGCAAGCGUUACUCGGAAUUACUGGGCGUAAAGCGUGCGUAGGUGGUGAGUUAAGUCUGUCGUGAAAGCCCCGGGCUCAACCUGGGAAUUGCGAUGGAGACUGCAAGGCUAGAAUCUGGCAGAGGGGGGGUAGAAUUCCACGUGUAGCAGUGAAAUGCGUAGAGAUGUGGAGGAACACCGAUGGCGAAGGCAGCCCCCCUGGGUCAAGAUUGACGCUCAUGCACGAA
rnacentral:rRNA from 1 species